rnacentral:rRNA from 1 species
CCCUAAAAAAUACGUCUCAGUUCAGAUUGCAGGCUGCAACUCGCCUGCAUGAAGUCGGAAUUGCUAGUAAUCGCAGAUCAGCAUGCUGCGGUGAAUACGUUCCCGGGCCUUGUACACACCGCCCGUCACACCAUGGGAGUCGGUAACACCCGAAGUCGGUAGCCUAACCGUAAGGAGGCGCGGCCGAAGGUGGGUUCGAUAAUUGGGGUGAAGUCGUAACAAGGUAAC